AUGGGGUUGGUAACAGUAGAACCAGAAGAACAUUCAAGGGGUGAGGGAGGAGGAGGAGAGAAAGUAGAGGGAAAGGGGUGCAGCCUUGGCAGGGGCCAUGAAGAAUCAGGAGGAAGAAGGGGGCCAAGGAAACAUCCAUCAUUAUUAAUAGACGUGACUUGAGAAGGAGCUCAUGUCUGACCAAUGAACUAAAGAGCGUGGGGUUCGGUGUAAGGGUCAAAGAAAAAGUCAAAAGGAAGAAAAGUGAGAAAUCUGAAGAAAAUCGAGAAAUCUGAAGAAAAUCAAGAAGGACCAGGAGAACCUAGACCAUGCCCCUAGGUCAUUCCGGCAGGCUAAUCUUCAUGCCCAUGUUGAUGCUUCCUCACCCACAGGUCCCGUCGCCAUAGUCGUCUCAAUAACGCACAUCAGCCCACUGUGUUCGGUGGCUGGGGUGCCCCUCCAGGCAGAGACUGGAGCCAUAGGGCUCUCUGUGGUUGCCCUUACCACUGUGAGCCACCAGAAGAGCGACCGAGCUCUCGACCAGUCCACGGCAUCAUCAGCAGCCAUCCCGAGAGUCAUCAGGAUUAGGCUGCCGGCUCCCGUGCAGGGGUUGGACUCCGGAGCUUCAGCCUUCAUUACCACCCCGUCACCAUUUUCAUUUUCCCAGUCCAACUGGACGUACUCAUGGACCUCACAGAGC